CAACCGAUUCGAGCCGAUAAAAACGGAACACCGGCGUCGAAAUCAUGGAUGAACAUGUUACUAAAGAUUCUCCCAGAGAAGGGAUAUAAGAUGUUUAGGGUUUCUGAAAGAGAUUUCUUCAGCUGAGUCAAAAUAUUGGAGGUGUUGGUAUCACUCGGGGGAUAAAAUAAUAUGAUUGGAACAUAAGUGGUGGGAGUUAGCUGAUCAAAUACACAGAGUUUGAAGGGUUCUUUUAGAUGAAUUUCUGGGGAAGAUGGUUUGAUGAUUUCUUUUGAAAGAAUCUGAGCCUCAAACUUCAUCAUUUCUUUGUUUUUUUUCCCUCACCAAUAUGUUUACACAAACUCUAUAGGAAGGAGAAAAAUAUAUAAACUAUUGGAGAUCAAAGCCUCCACUAUAAGAUCUUCUAGUUUUGGCUAAACUACUAUAAAAGCCCUUCACUUAGUUUACCUUUGUUAAAGCCCUUCACUAUAAGAUCUCCAAUAAAUCUGCCAAAAAUAUUGUUAAUAAUAGUAAACAAUUGUAUUAAACAUGGAUAAUAAGUGUAGAUAGUAACAUAUUUUGAUGAAUUACCCAAAAAUUCUAUUUUUUUCGAAAAAAUAUAUCGGAUUAGACCGGUUUUUUUUAAUUUAUCGGAUUAAGCUGAUUUUGGAGAGAGUGUGGAUUUGGCAGGAAAGUGCUUCUAGCUAGAUGCACUUUCCUGCUCAGUCAACAAAGCACAUCUAGCUAGACGCAUUUUCCCUAAUGGCUACCCACUCAGCGGUCGAAUUCUAAUGGCUCCCCCCUAACAGUAACUCUUUUCCCCUAUUUAAACCCCAAAUUUCCCACUUUUUCAAUUCACUCUCUACUCUCUCAAUUCAUUCUCAAUCCUCUCUUAAUUCUCACUCAAUUCUCUCAGUUCACUCUCAUUUUUUAUUAAAAUUGUAUUAAGGUUUUUUAAUUUUUUUGUAUUACAAUUUUUAUUUGUAUUUAUUGAAAUUAUUAAUGACAAAUUCUCUUAUUCGUUUAGAUGACAAGCACAUUUCGACCGUUCAAUUGCAAAUGGUAAGAAUUUUUUUAUUACUUUUAAUCUAAUCUAAUUUAAUUAUUUUGUUGUUAUAUUGAAAUUUAAGAUUUUGUAUUUUUUUUUAUAAUUAGCUAGAAGAUCGGAUUUUGGAGACGUACAUUCGCAAUCUAUCUACUCCUUUAUCGUUUUUAAUCGAACCAUACUUGUGAGAUGCAAGAUUUUUGCACAUCGCCCGUAUGGGUAAGGGGUGCAAAUUGGAACUCGAACUUGUAAGCGUGUUGGUGGAAAGAUGGUUAAAGUCUUAUUGGUUUGAGAUGUGAAAUUGGACUUAUAUUUUGUGAUGUUUUCACUUAGGUCUUAAGAUCAACUAUACUUUGUUAAAUGACAAGAUGAAACUAAAAAGGUAUGAGCUUGUAGGAUUCUGCCUACAAGGUCGCGACACUAGCUUUCAACAUUACUACGUCCUUUGUUUGAGGUCGCAACGUUAACUCAUUGUUUUCAAAGUCGCGACAUUGCACCAUCAAAGUCAUGACACCAUGUUUCUGCCAUUGAUGACGUGACGUGAAACCUUCAUGGUGGCGACGCCAACUCGAUAAAACUUGAUAACUUUGCAUUUUGGUCCUCAUAUGGUCUCGGGUUAUCAUAGGAGCUUUCAUAAGCUUGUAUAAACCCAAAUAUGAGUUGGAAGAAUGUUUUAUUGAUGUUUUAUCUGAAAUAACUUAUAUAAAAAAUGUCCUUUUUUGAAAGAACAAUUUUGUAUGUUGAUAUGUGAGGGUGAGUUACAAUAUAAAUGCAAGAGGUAGAAAAGAAAAAUGAAUGCUCUUAUUAUAGCUCCUAGUUGUUUACAUUGAUUUCACUCUUUAGUAAUUGUGCUUACUUCAAGAAGGAAAAAAUAAUGCUCAUAGCCUACACUUUGCACCCUUUUCUUUGAAUUAUUAUUAGCUUAAAUUGUCUAGUCACCUAUUUUAAGAAGUUAUUUAAUUUAAUAAUUUUCGAUAGCUUAAUUGCAAUUAGUGAUGUUUAUGAAUUGGGUUGGGUCGGAUUUGGGUCGAACUCAUGCAACGUAUUUAAAUCAAUUCUCUAAGUUCGGGACCGACUCAGUCCAGAAAAUGGACUUACUUUUUUGUUCAAACUCGAUCCGAUUUAAGAAAAGUAAAUCUGUGCUUGACCCACCCAUAUUUAAAAUCUAGUUGGAUUUUAAUAUAAGUGUUGAAUGCAUGUGUUUGAUUUAUAUAAUUAUAUAUUUUUUCAUAUUCAUAUUCAAAUUUUUAGUAGAUGAGCUGGGGCGUCACCUCAUCCUGUAUUUCUUUCCAAUUAUUUAAUGACACUUCAACAAUUCUUUUCACGUCAUUGAUACAUAAUUUUGGUAAUUUUUUAAACCCCUAAACCUUGAAUUUUGAACCCAAAACCCCAAACCCCAACUCAAACCCCAACCCUAAAUCUUAAACACUGACCUCUAAACUUGACCAAUUAAUUAAAAGUUGUAAUUUCCCAUUGAUAAGGGUUAUAAGUUGAAUUAAUUAUUCUAAGUUAUUUGAAUGGUUUAAUUAAAUGAAAAUUAUUAUUUAGAUCAAUAAACAAACCAAACAAAUCUAAACUGAGAAAAAGCUAAAAUGUUGGAUUAGUCGUCGGCUUCGUUUUUACAAUUGUUUUUGUCGAGGUAAGUUCAUAUAAAGAUUUAAAUUCAUUAAUUGAUGUUCUGAAUGUAGUUUUGAUAAAUAUUAUACUAUGUAUAGAUUAGAUUGAUAGUUAUUUGAUGUUUUGGUAUUUCAGAUAUAAUCAUAAUGAUAGCUAAAUUGAAUGUUAUAAUUGAAAAAUGUACAUUUCAUGCUCACGUGGCAAAUAUAAAAAAAUCCAUAUUUUUUAAAUUUAAAAGAAAUAAAAUGUGCAUUUUAAUUACAUUAAUUAAAAUUAAAAUUUUAUGUUGUUGAUUUGGAACUACGUAGCAAAUUGUUAAAAAUCUUUAUUGAUUUAAAAAAAAUUAAAAAAAUUAUAGAUUUUUUAAAGUUUUUUAACACUUGAUAAUUUUAUUUAUUUUUAGAUUUUUUUAAUUUUUUGAAGUUUUUUUUUUAAAUUUUGUACUCUUCUAAAAUGAAUUUGUACAACUGUUUGUGCAAAUUUAUUUGAAUAUGAAGAACUUAUUGUUUAGAUUCAUUCUAUAUGCAUAUUUUAUUUUAUUUUUUAAAAAGAUUUUAUAUUUUCAAAAAAUAAUUAUUCAAAAUAAAAAAAAAUAUUUUUUUUGCUGACUAGGCAUGCUAGGUUAGCAUACUACCACAUGGCAAAUUUUAGUGGUUUUUGUCAACCAUGUUAAUGGUUAAAUCAGUCAAGUGACAGUUUCUGUUAAUGAAAGGAACCAAUAAAUUUUUUUAUUUUUUAUUGAGAUUUUUUUUUGACCCUUGGCAAAAGAAAAUUACUUGUGCUAAUUGUAAGAAUUGACAUAAGUAACUUUAAGGACUAAUAUGAUAAUAAAAAAAAAGUUAAAUACGUCAUGUAAGUAUUUAUUAUCCAAAUAAUUUCCAUAUCUAUUUAUUAAUUAAAAUAUUCUAUAAUCCCAUAACCAAUUAACCAAUUAACCGACCUUAGCUAAGUUGGUAGAGCGGAGGACUGUAGUAGAAUAUCCAAACAGCCAUCCUUAGGUCGCUGGUUCGAAUCCGGCAGGUCGGAUAUUGCCCUUUUUUUUUUUUUUACAAUUUAUUUAAAAGAAUAGGUUAAAUUUUGCUUUUAGUCCCUAUACUUUACUUGGUACUUUUUCAAAUUUUAAAGUUGCUUUGCAUCACUUUUUCACCUUAUUAAGAGAAUAGGUUAAAUUCUACUAUUAGUCCUGAUCAAAUUGUAACUGUUAAAUAAAUUAGUUUUUGUUAUUUCUAAAAUUUGAAAUGAGAAAUACAUUAUCACAUAUCUAUUAUUUCCAAAGAUGAUAUCAGUUUAAUUCAAUCAAACUUUUUUAGAAUUUUCGAACCAUCCAUCAUACUUUAAUUUAGUAAAUGAAUCAUAAUAAAAUGAUAAAAAUAAAUCAUAUUUAUAAUUAAAUAUUUAUUAAGAAAUGAUAAAAAUUUAUAUAAUUUUUUUUAUAAAAGAUGUAUUCAAUAAAUGAAUACUUAUGUAAAUUCUUAUCAAUUUCGGUUUCAAUCUUUAUUUAAAAAUACUAUUUUUGUAAUUGUUUUAUUUAAAAUUUUGAAUAAAAAUAAUAAAAGAUAAAAGAUACUAUUUUUAAAUUAAAAUUUACAAUAUAUCAAUUUUUUUAUAUAUUUUUUACAAAUUCUUUAAUAAUGAUUAGAAUUUUUUUAUCACUAUAUUUCAAAUAUCAAAAUAAUUUAUAUCUAUUUAUUAUUUAAUUAAUUAUUAUUUUGAAUAAUGUUACUUUACAUUAAUCACAACAUGAUAAAAUGCUUUAAUUAUGAUUUGAAUUUUUUAUUAUAAUAUUUGAAUGAUUAAAUAAGUUAAUGUAUUUUAAUUAUAUUCAACCAUUCAAAUAAAGCAUAUUAUUGAACCUCAUGUGAUGGCUUGAUGGUCAAAGGUGUUCAUUGUCCUAGGUGUGACUUGAGUUCAAGUCGCGUUGGUUGUUUGGGCUUUACCUUGCUAUUGUAAUUCACAAAAAAAGGAAUAUUAUUUUAAACUAAUUAUGAUAAUUAUAAAAAAAUAUUUAAAAAAUUAAUUAAAAAUUAAACACAUAAAAUCACAUUGUAAUUAUAAAAAUUAAUUUGCAAAAAAAAAAAAAAAACUGUUGUUUUGCUGCCAUUUCACUGUUAUGUUGUUAUUGUUUGCAUAUUGUAUAAUUCUUGUUUUAUUGUUAAUUUAUUACUAUUUUAGAGGCAUUUGUUUGUUAAGUUACACCUAUCUUAGUGUUAUUUAAGUAUAAAAACAUUUUUAAAUUUAUUUUCAGUUUGUUGAGAAAUAUUUAUUUUACUGUUUUUAGUAUCUUUCAUGUUUUUUUUUUAAAAAUUAACAUAGACCGAAUUAGGUUCGGGUUUAACAUCUAUAAAACGAACCUAAAAUUUUGUUAGGACCGACUUGAACCCGACCCGACACAGGUAUAGUUUAAACCCUUGAAACAUCAUUUUCUCCGAUGUGGAGUCAUAGUUUAAAAUGUCCUCACACAGCUGCACCAAAAUGGCAUGGUGGAGUGGACACAUGCCUUUCUUCUACAAGCCUUCGUGCCUCUGAUGUUUUGGAAAGAUGCGCUUUAUUCUACGACCUUUAUAAUCAAAAUACUUACUUCAAAGGCUAUUCAUCACAGGAACUCCUCAUGAAAUGGUCUUUGGAAGCAAGCUAGAUUAUGGUUAUCUAAAGGUCUUUGGCUGUAAGUGUUUUCCUUACCUUAUACCUUUCAAUAAAAAUAAACUUGAAUCUCAUUCAAUGCCUUGAACAUGCCUUGGUUAUUGUUCAAAUCACAAAGGUUACAAGUGUCUUACAGAUGAUGGGAGGGCCGAUAUGGUAUUACGUGAAUCAAUAAAUUCGAUACGGGUAUGAGUAAUGGUAUGAAUCGAAAAGGAAAUGAAUAUGUUCUUAGUAGUAGAAACUAUGGUAUUAUUUGGUUAUAUUAAAUUGUUGAAUGCAAUAUUUGUAUGAAUUGAUAUACAAAGCUAUUAUGCAUAUAUCAUAUCUUAAUGAAAUGUGUAUUGGCUAAAGGCUGAAUUGGAAUUGAUUGUGCAUAAUCUCGGUUUUGAUAUAUGCAUGUUAAUAGUUUUGGUUGAAUUAACUUGAAUCAUAAAAGUAUUGUUGAGCUUUAUCACUUAGCGUAUGGUUUGUUUAUUCCAUGUGCAGAUAUCCAUAAAUCUUGAAGCCUCGAGAGGUGAAACAAUGUCCAAAUUGUUGAUUCUGGACUCAGAAAUGUUUGCACAAUUCUCACAUUUCAAUAGAUGACAUGUACCUAAAAUUGGACCGAUUUUUAGGUUAUAAAUGGUCAAAUUAGUGUAAUUGAAUAAUGUAUGGAAAUGAAUAGUUCAUGAAAUUGGACCUAUAUAUUGUGAUGUUUGUCAUUUAGGUCUUAAGAUCAGCUAUACUUUGUUAAAUGGCAAGUUGAAAUUACAGAGUUAUGAGCUUGUAGGAUAUUCAGCCUACAAGGUCGUGACACCAGCUUUCAACGUCACGGCGUCUCCUGUUUAAGGUCACGAUGUCAACUCCCUGUUUUCAUUGCGACAUUGCACCAUCAGAGUCGCGACACCAUGUUUUUGCCAUUGAUGUCGUGACGUGAAACCUUCAUGGUGGCGGCGCCAACUCGAUAAAAUUUAAAAACUUUACAUUUUGGUCAUCAUGUGAUCUCAGAUUAUCAUAGGAGCUUUCGUAAGCUCUUAUAACCCCGGAUAUGAGUUGAAAUAAUGUUUUAUUGAUGUUUUAUCUGAAAUAACUUGUAUAAAUUAUUGAAUGGAUCGAUAUUGUAUUCCUAGUUACUUUGACAAUGAAUGUGACAUCCCGUAACUCGGACCCGACGAUCAGGUCGGAUAUAGGGUGUUACAGAUUCUUUAAAAGAAAUUAGUUUUAGAUGUAUUUGAUGAUAAAAUUAAAUCAACUAGAUUGAUAUGACAGUUUUAUUAUUUUAAAAAUUAUAUUAAAAAUGUAUUUUUGAUAUUUAAAUUAAAAUGAAAAUAUUUUUAUUAAUAAAUAUUAAUUGUAUAGGUCAAAUUUUGCUAUUGACCCUAUAUUUUGCAUAAGUUGUAAAUUUAAUACCAAUAAUUUAAUUUCGUUAUUUUCAGUCUCUAUGCUUUUAGAAUUUGAAAAUUUCAGUCCAGUAAUUAUAAAAUUCAUUAAGUUCUGUUAUUUUCAAAAUCUGAUAAGUCAAAUAUAUUAUCGCAUGUGUAAUGUUAUGUCAGCUUGUUAGUCUCAUAUAUUACUCACAAAAAAUUCAGUUAAUAGAUUUAAUGAGUGUUGUUUACAUUAAGACUAAAAUUUCGAAAUUAAAAGGAAUAUAAUGACUAAAAUUGAUCCAAUUGGAGAAUAUAAACCAAAUCUAUGACUUUACGAUUCAUACAUGAUUAAUAGCAUAAUUUAACUAAACAAAUUUGACUGUUACCAUUUGAUUAGGACUAAAAUUAAUCAAAUUAAAGCGCAAAUAUUAAUUUCAUAACUUAUAUAAAAGUACAUGGACUAAUAACAAAAUGUAACCAAUUUUAAUGUCCUUUUUUGAAAGAAUAAUUUUUUAUGUUGAUAUGUCAGGUAGAGGUGCUCAUGGGCCGGGCCCGGCCGGGUUCGGGCCAAGCCCAUAAAAAAUUUCGGCCCGGCCCGAAAUAUGGGCCUGAAAUUUUGUCCAGGCCCAGGCCCGGCCCGGGAAAAAAAUCAUAAGCCCGGGCCCAGCCCGGCCCAUUUUUUAAAUAAAUACCAAAAAAUUAUUUUAAAAAUUAAAAAAAGUAUUUUAAAAUACUUUUUAAAAUUUUAUAUUUUAAAAUUAAAAAAAUUUUAAAAAUAUUUUAAAAAUAUUUUAAAAUUAAAAAAUAAUAAAAAAGUAUUUUAAAAUUAAAAAAUUUAAAAAAUAAAUAUAUUUAUUAUAUCGGGCCGGGUCGGGCCCGGGCCAAAAAACUGGUGCCCGAGGCUGGGCCCGUUUUCUAAACGGGCCUAGUUUUUUUGCCCAAUCCCAUAUUUCGGGCCUAUAUUUUUACCCAAACCCUCCCAUAUUUCGGGCGGACCGUCGGGUAAUGUCAGGGUGAGUUACAAUAUAAAUGCAAGAGGUAGAUAGGGGUGAACAAAAUUCGAUUCUAUUCGAUUCGAAAAACUCGAUAAAAAAACUAAAUUUUGAAUUAACUAGUUUGAGUUAUUCGGAUCAACUCGAAUAAAAAAAUUAAAAUUUCCGGUUUAACUCGAAUAUGAAUUACACAAUUCGAGUAAACAGAAAAUCUAAAUAAGAAAAGACAAAACCACGUCGUUUUGGUAAAUGUUUAUCUUUUCUAAAGUUAAAAGUCAAAACCAUUAAAUUAAAAGGCAAAACUAUUUUGUUUUGAUAAAUGUUUACCAAUCAGUCUUACUUAUGUAAUUAAAUAAUCUUGUACUUCGUCUACUAGUUAAAUAAUCAAUCCAUAUAAACACAAUAUUGAGUAUAAAUAAUGUGAUUCGUUAACUCGACUUCAAAUUUUUUCGAUUCGAAAACUAUUCAAAUUAAUUUAAUUACCAAAAAAAAUUCGUCAACUCAAUUAAUUUAAAAUUUUUUAAGUCGAUUUUACUCGACGUGACUCAACGCUGAACGGUCAGAUUGUUUAAAUUGAAUUCACUCAGUAGUAACUGUGCUUACCUACUUGCCACUUGGACGACAGACUUUCGACCAACUUAUUUAUGUGUAUUUAAUUUUCUGCAGUUUGUGUUCAAAUUAAAGCGUACUUCAAAAAUGAAAAAUUUAAUGCUCCUAGCCUUAGCUUUUUCUUUGAAUUAUUAUUAUUAUUAUACUUAAUUAAAUAACUCUUGUUAGCUUAAUUACAAUUAGAGAUAUUCAUGUAUUGGGUCGAGUUAAGUUUGGAUUAAGCGCAAAUAAAGUAUUUAGAUUACUUCUUUAAGUUCGGGUUCAGCUCAAUCCAAAAAAUAAGUUUAUUUUUUAUCCAAACCUUUAAAAAAAAAACUCGAAUCUAACCCGAUCAUAUUUAAGUUUUUUAAAUUAAUUUUUAUUUAAAAAUAGUUUUUUUUACUUUUAUUUAUUUUUUAUCCCUCUAAAAUAAUUUUUUUAACUUCGUCCUUAGUGUUGGAUAUAAAUAUAAAAGAAUAACCAUAAUUGAUGCUUUGAAUGUGUUCUCCAUUCAUGUAUUUAAACUGGUUUUUUUGGUAAAAAAAUAUUUUUUAACAGGUAUGAUUUGAUAAUAUUAAAAUCUAGCUUCCAAAUGAUUAGAAUCAGAAUUUCACUGUUGAGAUUUUUUAAGAAAUUGACUCUUAAAUGUACUAUUUUUUUCCUUUGAAAAGACAGUAUAAAUAGGAGAUUAUUCCUUAAACUUCUCCCAUUAUUUUAUUCUUGGUGUUUUGCGGAAUUACACGAGAGAGAAAUUUUGUUAGGAGAUUGGGUUUUAAACCAGACCGUCUGUGAACCCUCUAAUCUUUCAUGGGAAUUGAACCUAGUCUGGUUUCGUUGGUUUUCUUUUAGCUUAUUUUUCGAUCAUAUUUUCAACCAACUGCUUUUGUUUUUUUCAAUUUUGAUUCCUUUAUUAGAAGAGCAAUAUCAAUUAUGUUCCACAUUCUUUAUCCGGGUAUAUAGAUAUUGAAAUACUGUGUUAACCUUGGGGCGACGUCCACUAUACGAUUACACAGAUCAGAACAAAUUUGCUUUUAAGACAGUGAUUCUUCCACAGCACGAUGAUUGCUCUAUUUAUUUAGACUCAGCUUGAUUUCCUAUUAGCGCUAAACAGUUUUAUUUUAUAGUAGUAUAUUUUUAACAUUAAUAACAUGAAAACAUUACUGAAAUAUCAUUAAGAUGAGGCAAUUAUUUCUAAUGAAAAUGAUUUCCAAUAAAUAAUAUUUUAAACACUAACUGAUAAAAAAAAUUGAAAAGAAAAGAAAAACUAAUAAUCCGGCCAACAUAGCAAUCCAACAGCAAUGCUUAAAAAUACCUGAAAGACGAAAUAUAAAAGUAGAAACCAUAUACUACUGAAAAUACCUUAUUCAUAGUAGAGGAGAUUUUAUUGAUCAUCAAAGUGUUUCCAGAGACGCUUACAAGCUUGAAAUCUGGGGACUUGGAGAAGCAAAGUUUAGGAAUUCAUGAUCUUUUUGUAGUGCAGACAUUUUGGUUUCAUCUAAGGUUAUCCAAGCUUCUAUUCCUUUCCCAUAUUUGGUUUCAACGAGAACAGUGAAGUUUCUAAAUUCAGGCCCUGCUUUUCCCAGUAUUGCAAAUGAACAAGGUUGCCCCCAUCCGAAAUCUAGUUUGUGAAAAUCAGUAUUGAUCCAGCUGGUGAAGGCGAAAAUAUCAGGUUUUUCAAAGGAAAACAACAGCUCCAGCUGGUUCAAGUGCUCAGCGAUGGCUUCAAACCCUUGUUCACCUUGGAUUGAUCUCAUGUAUUCGUCGUCGAAAACAGCAAUGGAUUGACUCAUCAACUCGACCAAUGUGGAUAACUCGGUGCCUGUCUCGGCUGGAUUCGAGAGUGCACUCGCCCACCAAAAUACAUUCCCAACCGAACCAUCUAAUGUCGUAAGCUUCCCUUUUGACCUCAUGUUCACUGCUUGGACAACAAUGGAUGGUUUCAAGGUUCCUUGUAUCGCCCUGGAUGCCGCCAUUGAACAUUUCCAGAUGAAACCAGAGACAGCUUCGGUUCGUGUCGGUGUAGUCUCGACUUCCCCUUUUGCCAUGUCCUUUAGGAUGGCUACUGCUUCCUCAUUAAACACAAAUUUCCGUGUAACAAAAUUACCUUUGGUGAACCAUAAGUUUUCCAUCAUGGAUAUGUAAUUCUUGGGCAUUGGAUUUUUAGGUGGAAAGAUCAAGGAGGCCUUAGAUAAGGCAGGAAAUUUAAUUUCAGGGUGGUAUCCUUGGCAGAUUGUUCUCCAAACAAAGGUGAAAAUGAAGCCUGUUUUGGCGUCAGUGAUUUUAUGUGAGGCGCAGAUGCCUAAAGCUACUCCCCCACAUGCAAACAUGGUGACUUGACAAACCAAGAGAGGACCCUGAUGAUUUGAUUCCUUGUAGAAAGGAGGGCAUGGGAGCAAGUUGUUCAAGGUCUCAAUUUGAUGAUGCCUGAGAAACUCGGAUAAUCGACAACCGAUUCGAGCCGAUAAAAACGGAACACCGGCGUCGAAAUCAUGGAUGAACAUGUUACUAAAGAUUCUCCCAGAGAAGGGAUAUAAGAUGUUUAGGGUUUCUGAAAGAGAUUUCUUCAGCUGAGUCAAAAUAUUGGAGGUGUUGGUAUCACUCGGGGGAUAAAAUAAUAUGAUUGGAAC
rnacentral:lncRNA from 1 species